UAAUACGUAGGGUGCAAGCGUUGUCCGGAUUUAUUGGGCGUAAAGAGCUCGUAGGCGGUCUGUCGCGUCGGAUGUGAAAACCCAGGGCUCAACCCUGGGCCUGCAUUCGAUACGGGCAGACUAGAGUAUGGCAGGGGAGACUGGAAUUCCUGGUGUAGCGGUGAAAUGCGCAGAUAUCAGGAGGAACACCGGUGGCGAAGGCGGGUCUCUGGGCCGUAACUGACGCUGAGGAGCGAAAGCGUGGGGAGCGAACAGG
rnacentral:rRNA from 1 species